rnacentral:tRNA from 1 species
GGGGACGUGGCGGAAUUGGUAGACGCGCGGGUCUCAAAAACCCGUUACCGAAAGGUAGUGUGGGUUCGAUUCCCACCAUCCCCACCA